CAUGGACCCGGUGAGAUUCCGGGUGGCUCUUCCGGCCGCUGAUCCGCCGGAUAAAC
rnacentral:ncRNA from 1 species